rnacentral:rRNA from 1 species
UUGUUGCGGUUGAAAAGCUCGUAGUUGGACUUCUGGCGUCCGGUUUCGGUCCGCCUCGAGCGAGCACUGAUCCCGGUCGUCGUUUUUGUCGACGAGGUUCGUCGGACUUCACUGGCUGGCGUUCUCCAGUCGACAGGGUUACUUUGAGGAAAUCAGAGUGCUCAAGGCAAGCGCACGCUCGUGACUUCACUAGCAUGGAAUAACACAGAUGGGCUCUUUUUCGCAACGUUGGUCUGCGUCAAUUGAGCAACGAUCGAUAGAGACGGUCGGGGGCAUUCGUAUUGCGCAGUUAGAGGUGAAAUUCUCCGAUCUGCGCAAGACGCACUAAUGCGAAAGCAGUUGCCAAGGACGUCCUCUUAUGAUCAAGAGCGAAAGUCGGGGGAUCAAAGAUGAUUAGAUACCGUCGUAGUCCCGACCAUAAAUGAUGCCGACUGAGCGUCGGCGACUCGGCCUUCGGCCGUACGUCGGCGCUCUUGAGAGAAAUUAAAGUCUUUGGGCUCCGGGGGUAGUAUGGUCGCAAGUCUGAAACUUGAAGGAAUUGACGGAAGGGCACCACAAGGCGUGGAUGUUGCGGCUUAAUUUGACUCAACACGGGAAAGCUUACUAGGUUUGGACACUUGAAUGAGGGACAUAUUGAAGCUCUUACCUUUUUUUGUGGAUGGUGGUGCAUGGUCGUUCUCASCCCGUGGGUUGACCUGUCAGGUUUACUCCGGUAACGCGCGAGACCUCGGUUUGCUAAAUAGACGCGGCUGUCUCGGCACCCGCGCUCUUCUUAGAGAGAGUCUCGACGAGAGUCGAGGGAAGUCGAGGCAAUAACAGAUCUGUGAUGCCCUUAGUUAUCCUAGGUCGCACGCGCCAAACAAUGUCGCUUACAACGAGUUCCUAGGCCGACAGGCGUUGGGCAAUCUUGCAGAGAGCUACGUGACUGGGCUAGACUCUUGUAAUUGUUGGUCUUCAACGAGGAAUGCCUAGUAAUCGCAGGUCAUCAUCCUGCGAUGAUUAGGUCCCUGCCCUUUGUACACACCGCCCGUCGCUCCAUCCGUGGCAUGCGCCGGUGAAGAGGGGGAGGCAGCG